rnacentral:rRNA from 1 species
UACGGAGGGAGCUAGCGUUGUUCGGAAUUACUGGGCGUAAAGCGCACGUAGGCGGCUUUGCAAGUUAGAGGUGAAAGCCCGGAGCUCAACUCCGGAAUUGCCUUUAAGACUGCAUCGCUUGAAUCCGGGAGAGGUGAGUGGAAUUCCGAGUGUAGAGGUGAAAUUCGUAGAUAUUCGGAAGAACACCAGUGGCGAAGGCGGCUCACUGGACCGGUAUUGACGCUGAGGUGCGAAAGCGUGGGGAGCAAACAGG